CCGCGAGGACGACCUCGCGCUUCCCCGCAAUCCGGCCGGGACGACCCGC
rnacentral:ncRNA from 1 species